rnacentral:lncRNA from 1 species
UUUAAGUUUGAAACUAUAAAAUUUGAACAUAUCAAAAAGUUACAUUCAAUUUAAAUUGAACCCACGACUUCUCCUCAAUAAGGUAAGCCUUUUACCACUUGACCAAACUUAUUCUUUUUCAAUGUUUCUCAUUUAAAUUUAUAUAUUACAAAACUAUGUAAAAUUAUCUUUUAUAUAUCCGAACUACGAAUGCUCUGAUUUCCUUAUUGGCCCAGAAGGAUACGUAGGCACGAGAUUGCGAUAUCUUGGCGAGCACGCUAAUAAAAAACCUAAAUUUUCCUCUUUUGAGGUUUCUAUUCGUUUCUCUUUUCAAUCUUUUAUUCGCUUGAAGGAAACAAAUAACAUUACUAACAUUCAAAUCGCAAAUUUAACUAAAAGUUUCUCAUUGAGUACAACGGACGUGAG